rnacentral:rRNA from 1 species
UACGUAGGGUGCAAGCGUUGUUCGGAAUCAUUGGGCGUAAAGCGCGUGUAGGCGGUUUGAUAAGUCGAGUGUGAAAAUCCCUGGGCUUAACCGAGGAAGUGCAUUCGAAAACUAUCUGGCUAGAGGACGGUAGAGGAAGGUGGAAUUCCUAGUGUAGAGGUGAAAUUCUAGAUAUUAGGAGGAAUACCGGUGGCGAAGGCGGCCUUCUGGACCGAUCUUGACGCUGAGACGCGAAAGCGUGGGGAGCAAACAGG